GACGAACCGAGCGAACGUUGUUCGGAAUCACUGGGCUUAAAGGGCGCGUAGGCGGGCUCUCAAGUCCGGGGUGAAAUCCCACAGCUCAACUGUGGAACUGCCUCGGAUACUGGGGGUCUCGAGGGUGGUAGGGGUAUGCGGAACUAUCGGUGGAGCGGUGAAAUGCGUUGAUAUCGAUAGGAACUCCGGUGGCGAAGGCGGCAUACUGGACCACAUCUGACGCUGAGGCGCGAAAGCCAGGGGAGCAAACGGG
rnacentral:rRNA from 1 species